AACGAACGCUGGCGGCAGGCCUAACACAUGCAAGUCGAGCGAAGCCUUCGGGCUUAGCGGCGGACGGGUGAGUAACGCGUGGGAACGUGCCCUUUGGUACGGAAUAGCCCCGGGAAACUGGGAGUAAUACCGUAUGUGCCCUUCGGGGGAAAGAUUUAUCGCCAAAGGACCGGCCCGCGUUGGAUUAGGUAGUUGGUGGGGUAAUGGCCUACCAAGCCGACGAUCCAUAGCUGGUUUGAGAGGAUGAUCAGCCACACUGGGACUGAGACACGGCCCAGACUCCUACGGGAGGCAGCAGUGGGGAAUCUUAGACAAUGGGGGAAACCCUGAUCUAGCCAUGCCGCGUGAUCGAUGAAGGCCUUAGGGUUGUAAAGAUCUUUCAGUGGGGAAGAUAAUGACUGUACCCACAGAAGAAGCCCCGGCUAACUCCGUGCCAGCCGCCGCAGUAA
rnacentral:rRNA from 1 species